rnacentral:tRNA from 1 species
GGGCCUUUGGGCUAACUUGGUUAUACUUGUGGCUUUGGGAGCCAUUGAUCCCGGUUCAAAUCCGGGGAGGCCCA